rnacentral:tRNA from 1 species
AUAAGGGUGAGGUCGGCAGUUCAAAUCUGCCCAGACCUACCAUUACAUGGUUCAGCCGUAGAAUACGGGGCCAUGGCUCAGCUGGGAGAGCGCCUGCCUUGCACGCAGGAGGUCAGCGGUUCGAUCCCGCUUGGCUCCACCACUUUCGCCGUACGCAGUUACUUGUCAGAACUUAGAAAUGAACAUUCAGCUCGAAUGUUGGUUUCUGACUUUUGUCAGAUCGUUCUUUAAAAAUUCGGAUAUGUGAUAGAUAUAGACUGAACACCAGUUUCACUGCUGGUGGAUCAGGCUAAGGUAAAAUUUGUGAGUUCUGCUCGAAAGAGCAACGUACGAAUUUUCGGCGAAUGUCGUCUUCACAGUAUAACCAGAUUGCUUGGGGUUAUAUGGUCAAGUGAAGAAGCGCAUACGGUGGAUGCCUUGGCAGUCAAAGGCGAUGAAAGACGAG